AAGCAACGUUGUUCUUCUUUCUUUAUUUUGUUUCACGUUGUUUUAUAGUUAAUUAAAGAUAAAUUAUUUUCUAAUCAGUCUUAUUUCUCAUAAUUAAUUUCAAGUUUUUUCUUCUUUUUUUACAGGUGUAUUUUGGUCAACAACGAUGACAAGAGAAUUACUUUGUUUAUCAAAAACUAAAGAUAAGUACAAAAACAUAUUUACAUUUUUAUUAAAUAAUGUAUAAUUUAAGAGUAUUUUUGUUUCUUAGGAUUAAAUCAGUCUAAUUUAAACACAUGAUCGAUUUAAAAUAUCUGUACAAUUUUUAUUUCUAAAAAAAAAAUUUUAAAAUUAUGAAAUAAUUAAAUAAAAAAUGUUGUUUUUGUUUAGGACCAGUUCAGAGAAAGAUGGGUGAAACUUAAAAUGAGAUGAAGCCAAAGUUGAACCAGUCUGUUGGGGUAUUUUUCAUAUUUACAAUGAGGAGAAGACAAAGAAGAUUUCCUUAACUAAUAGUGCACAGAUCCUUUCUUAGCUCAUGGACUUCUUUUCCAGGAAGACAACCAUGGCUAAAUUUUUUGAAAGGAAUGUUAUCCGUCUACGGUCUGAGUCAACAUGGCCUUCUGUGCCCUGAAUGUGGUAUCUUUGUUAAAAAAUAAAAAAAAUUAUAAAAACUUGAAAAAAAAAAUUUAAAAAUAA